rnacentral:rRNA from 1 species
GACGAACCGUGCGAACGUUGUUCGGAAUCACUGGGCUUAAAGGGCGCGUAGGCGGGCUGACAAGUCUGGGGUGAAAUGCCGCGGCUCAACCGUGGAACUGCCUCAGAUACUGUCGGCCUCGAGGAAGGUAGGGGCAUGCGGAACUGUAGGUGGAGCGGUGAAAUGCGUUGAUAUCAUCAGGAACACCGGAGGCGAAGGCGGCUCACUGGGGCUUAUCUGACGCUGAGGAACGAAAGUCAGGGGAGCGAACGGG